rnacentral:lncRNA from 1 species
AAUAUUCUUUCUUAUUCUAUUUCCCUUCAUAUUUUCACUUUCUCUUUCAUCAAAAUUAAUUAAAGUUAUCCAAAGUCACCGAAUCCUUCUCCCAAAAAAUUAUUGGUUUGAGAUUUGAUGACAAUGUCACUAAGAAAUGUCAUUGUUAGUACUUAAUUGCUUCCAAUAUUCUCUUGACUCCCCAACAAUAAAAGAGAUAUACAUAUAUUUGUGGUUUGUGAUUUGUUGCUUUCAAUAUUCUCUUGACUCCGAAUAAUAAAAGAGAUG